rnacentral:sRNA from 1 species
UGUGUGUGUCUGUGUUUCUCUCUUUUUGCAAUUUUAUAGAAAAAGAAAAAAAAGCCCUAGAAGGGUAGAUACCACUCUGUGUAUAGUGCUUACAUUUGGAGAGGGAUGUUGGGGAGAUAGGGAUUUAUCCCAUAUUCUCCAUUGUGGCUGGCAAUUUUUUUUACAGAGACUAAACUUGUGUUUUACAUAAUGAACAAAUCAUGACUGUAGUAAAAAAUAAUCUAAUCUUUUGGCUUUCAUGUGUUUUGCUAGGAUUGGUCCAAAGGAAGAUUUUUUCCAUUGUUUGAAAUGUAACUUAUGCCUAGCUAUGAAUCUUCAAGGAAGACACAAGUGUAUUGAAAAUGUGUCUCGACAGAAUUGUCCAAUAUGUUUGGAGGACAUUCACACAUCCCGUGUUGUUGCUCAUGUCUUGCCAUGUGGACAUCUUUUACAUAGAACGUGUUAUGAAGAAAUGUUGAAAGAAGGCUACAGAUGUCCAUUAUGUAUGCACUCUGCUUUAGAUAUGACCAGGUAUUGGAGACAGCUGGAUGAUGAAGUAGCACAGACUCCUAUGCCAUCAGAAUAUCAGAACAUGACUGUGGAUAUUCUCUGCAAUGACUGUAAUGGACGAUCCACUGUUCAGUUUCAUAUAUUAGGCAUGAAAUGUAAGAUUUGUGAAUCCUAUAAUACUGCUCAAGCUGGAGGACGUAGAAUUUCACUGGAUCAGCAAUGACGAGCCUACGCAGUACUGGAGAACUUGGCAUUUUCUGAUAUAGAAAAAGGCUUUCCUUGGUAUCGUGUUAUCAUGUGUUGUCAUCUAUGCAUUAGAGUUGAUGUGUUUUGUACUAGUGUCACAGCAUAAAAUCAUAGUGCAAGUACGUAAGGAUUCAGGGUCUCUUGAUAGACUUAUCAUAGCUCUAUAUUGAAUGAAAGCCACUGUGCUUGUGUUUUGAUUGGAAAUACCUUUAGUGUCAGUAUUUUGGAAGCCAAUGAUGUUUGCCACUGAUACAUUCAUAGAAGUGUAUUAUAUUUUCAUGAAACUUUGCUUUAAGUGACACUACGCACGCAGUUCAUUUCUAGUUCUUGAUAGAACUGCACUUAAUUUUCAGUAGUAGUCUUGACUUUUUAAGGGCUGUGUUAUAUUAAGUUCUCCCUUACUGUUAAAACCUAAUUAAAUAUGCUUUA